rfam:Desulfobacterales bacterium PC51MH44 PC51MH44_contig000145, whole genome shotgun sequence.
UUACCCUGGGAGAUCUUUCCGAAAGAAUCGGAAAGAAGUCAGCAGAGGACAUAGUAUCCUGAAUUUCAGGAGAAGGUC